UUUUUUUUUUUUUUUUUUUCCUUCCAUGAUUUAUAGGCUGUAAUCUCGCCAAGUGGAGCUAGUUUGGAGGCAAGCCUGUGUUCAGCUUGAAUAGUUUUUCGAACCAUUGAGCUCAAACUCAGCCUAACACUUUGAGUUUGAAGCUGACAAAAAGUUUCAGGCUGAUGAUUUGCAAGCUUGGGACUAGCCCAUUUAGUGCACCCGCUCUUCUCUUUCUCAGUCUCUUCGUUGGAGUCCUCCGCCCAGGCCAGCCUCACAAAAACUGGCCAGAAAAUUUUGGGCUAAAUAAUCCAGAUUUUAGUCUACUGUAAUAUAAUUUGAAGUCUUUUAAGUAUUGCUUGCGUAGUGAUUGCUAGUAGUUACAUAUGGUUUUUUGCUGGAUUCAUUGGGUCUCUUUUUCAUGACCAUUUAUGACUUGCACAUCAAUGUCUUCCAGGAUAUGGCCUGUGACACAUUC
rnacentral:misc_RNA from 1 species